rnacentral:rRNA from 1 species
UACGUAGGGGGCAAGCGUUGUCCGGAUUUAUUGGGCGUAAAGAGCGUGUAGGCGGCUUGGUAGGUCCGCUGUGAAAACUCGAGGCUCAACCUCGAGAUGUCGGCGGAAACCACUUGGCUAGAGUCCGGAAGAGGAGAGUGGAAUUCCUGGUGUAGCGGUGAAAUGCGCAGAUAUCAGGAAGAACACCUAUGGCGAAGGCAGCUCUCUGGGACGGUACUGACGCUGAGACGCGAAAGCCAGGGGAGCAAACGGG